rnacentral:rRNA from 1 species
AUUGAACGCUGGCGGCAUGCUUUACACAUGCAAGUCGAACGGCAGCACGGGUGCUUGCACCUGGUGGCGAGUGGCGAACGGGUGAGUAAUGCAUCGGAACGUGCCCAUGAGUGGGGGAUAGCCCGGCGAAAGCCGGAUUAAUACCGCAUACGCCCUUAGGGGGAAAGCGGGGGAUCUUCGGACCUCGCGCUAUUGGAGCGGCCGAUGUCGGAUUAGCUAGUAGGUGGGGUAAAGGCUCACCUAGGCGACGAUCCGUAGCUGGUCUGAGAGGAUGAUCAGCCACACUGGGACUGAGACACGGCCCAGACUCCUACGGGAGGCAGCAGUGGGGAAUUUUGGACAAUGGGCGAAAGCCUGAUCCAGCCAUGCCGCGUGAGUGAAGAAGGCCUCGGUUGUAAGUACGUACUUCUACGU